rnacentral:rRNA from 1 species
UACAGAGGGUGCAAGCGUUAAUCGGAAUUACUGGGCGUAAAGCGUGCGUAGACGGUUAUGUAAGUCAGAUGUGAAAUCCCCAGGCUCAACCUGGGAACUGCGUCCGAUACUGGAUGGCUUGAAUUCGGGAGAGGGAUGCAGAAUUCCAGGUGUAGCGGUGAAAUGCGUAGAUAUCUGGAGGAAUACCGAUGGCGAAGGCGAGAUCUC